rnacentral:rRNA from 1 species
AACGUAGGUGGCGAGCGUUAUCCGGAUUUACUGGGCGUAAAGCGUGUGCAGGUGGCCUGUUAAGUGGUGUAUGAAAUCGCCCGGCUCAACCGGGCGGGGUUAUGCCAGACUGGCAGGCUAGAGGGUGGGAGAGGGAUGUGGAAUUCCGGGUGUAGUGGUGAAAUGCGUAGAUAUCUGGAGGAACACCGGUGGCGAAGGCGGCAUCCUGGACCAACACUGACGCUGAGGAGCGAAAGCCAGGGGAGCAAACGGG